GAUGAACGCUGGCGGCGUGCCUAAUACAUGCAAGUCGAGCGAACAGACGAGUAGCUUGCUGCUCUGAUGUUAGCGGCGGACGGGUGAGUAACACGUGGAUAACCUACCUAUACGACUGGGAUAACUUCGGGAAACCGGAGCUAAUACCGGAUAAUAUUUUGAACCGCAUGGUUCAAUAGUGAAAGACGGUUUUGCUGUCACUUAUAGAUGGAUCCGCGCCGCAUUAGCUAGUUGGUAAGGUAACGGCUUACCAAGGCAACGAUGCGUAGCCGACCUGAGAGGGUGAUCGGCCACACUGGAACUGAGACACGGUCCAGACUCCUACGGGAGGCAGCAGUAGGGAAUCUUCCGCAAUGGGCGAAAGCCUGACGGAGCAACGCCGCGUGAGUGAUGAAGGUCUUCGGAUCGUAAAACUCUGUUAUUAGGGAAGAACAAAUGUGUAAGUAACUGUGCACGUCUUGACGGUACCUAAUCAGAAAGCCACGGCUAACUACGUG
rnacentral:rRNA from 1 species